rnacentral:rRNA from 1 species
CGACUCUCGGCAACGGAUAUCUCGGCUCACGCAUCGAUGAAGAACGUAGCAAAAUGCGAUACUUGGUGUGAAUUGCAGAAUCCCGUGAAUCAUCGAGUYUUUGAACGCAAGUUGCGCCYGAAGCCAUUCGGUUGAGGGCACGUCUGCCUGGGCGUCACG